rnacentral:rRNA from 1 species
GAUGAACGCUGGCGGCGUGCCUAAUACAUGCAAGUCGAGCGAACAGACGAGGAGCUUGCUCCUCUGACGUUAGCGGCGGACGGGUGAGUAACACGUGGAUAACCUACCUAUAAGACUGGGAUAACUUCGGGAAACCGGAGCUAAUACCGGAUAAUAUAUUGAACCGCAUGGUUCAAUAGUGAAAGACGGUUUUGCUAUCACUUAUAGAUGGAUCCGCGCCGCAUUAGCUAGUUGGUAAGGUAACGGCUUACCAAGGCAACGAUGCGUAGCCGACCUGAGAGGGUGAUCGGCCACACUGGAACUGAGACACGGUCCAGACUCCUACGGGAGGCAGCAGUAGGGAAUCUUCCGCAAUGGGCGAAAGCCUGACGGAGCAACGCCGCGUGAGUGAUGAGGUCUUCGGAUCGUAAAACUCUGUUAUUAGGGAAGAACAAAUGUGUAAGUAACUAUGCACGUCUUGACGGUACCUAAUCAGAAAGCCACGGCUAACUACGUG